rnacentral:rRNA from 1 species
AAAACGACUCUCGGCAACGGAUAUCUCGGCUCUCGCAUCGAUGAAGAACGCAGCGAAAUGCGAUACUUGGUGUGAAUUGCAGAAUCCCGUGAACCAUCGAGUCUUUGAACGCAAGUUGCGCCCCAAGCCGUUAGGCCGAGGGCACGCCUGCCUGGGUGUCACGC